rnacentral:rRNA from 1 species
UACGUAGGCAGCGAGCGUUGUUCGGAGUUACUGGGCGUAAAGGGUGUGUAGGCGGUUGUUUAAGUUUGGUGUGAAAUCUCCCGGCUCAACUGGGAGGGUGCGCCGAAUACUGAAUGACUUGGAGUGCGGGAGAGGAGAGUGGAAUUCCUGGUGUAGCGGUGAAAUGCGUAGAUAUCAGGAGGAACACCGGUGGUGUAGACGGCUCUCUGGACCGUAACUGACGCUGAGACACGAAAAGCGUGGGUAGCAAACAGG